UUCUCCUUGUUUUGUUUAUUAUCUCAGUGUAUCUUUUUUCAAAGCAGUAUUCAUGACUACCUUACUUACUCUGUAGGCAAUGAGGGCCGUGAAUACGUCCUGAGGCGUAUUCUCCAUAGAGAUGUUCGUUAUGGAAGUGAAGUUCUGAAAGCACAAGAAGGAUUCUUCAAUAGCCUCAUAAACAUUGUUGUAAAGGUGAUGGGUGAUGUUUUCCCUGAACUGAAACAACAUGAAGUGCACAUCAGUUUAUAAUUGCUGAAAAGGAAGCAAGUUUUGGCAAGACAUUACUUAAGAUGCAACAUCUACCCCUUAUAUUGCAAUUGUCACGGUGAUGCUCCAUUCACAAUCUCUUGGUACAUAAUUUUCCCCAACUACUAGUCUAUGCCGUUGCUGAAAAUACUUAAGGAAAAGAAGCACUUCAUUUAUUAAACACAUGGAUAGCAGACAAAGGAAGCGGAGAAGCCAUGUUCCAUCAAGAUCUGAAGUGGUUAAGUUACCAAAAUCCCACUGCUUGGGAAAGAAAUUCCUAUCAAUCAUGGAUACCCUCCCAAUGGAUAAGAAAAAUGCCAUCAGCGAUAUGGGAUUCAGGGGCUUGCUGCAGCUUGGCUGUAAAGAAUUGCGUUAUGAGCUAAUAACGUGGAUAGUCGCCAAUUAUGACAUUGGCUACCACCGCUUAUGCAUGGAAACAAAAUUUGUUGUCCCAGUCACGCCCAAAGA